UACGAAGGGGGCUAGCGUUGCUCGGAAUCACUGGGCGUAAAGGGUGCGUAGGCGGGUCUUUAAGUCAGGGGGGAAAUCCUGGAGCUCAACUCCAGAACUGCCUUUGAUACUGAAGAUCUUGAGUUCGGGAGAGGUGAGUGGAACUGCGAGUGUAGAGGUGAAAUUCGUAGAUAUUCGCAAGGACACCAGUGGCGAAGGCGGCUCACUGGCCCGAUACUGACGCUGAGGCACGAAAGCGUGGGGAGCAAACAGG
rnacentral:rRNA from 1 species